rnacentral:lncRNA from 1 species
UGGAAAAAAUCCAUAUUCUGAUUGCCAAUAUGGCAAGAACUGAUCUCUUUCCUACUCUCGAUCCACAUAUUUCUAGGGAAUCUGGUGACAUUGGAUGAGGUGAUCUAGAAGAAAUCCUGGAAGAGGAAAUAUUUGGUCUGAGACCUGAACAAUGAGAAAAAGUAGGUCUAUGGAAAUCUGAGGAAAACAUUCCAUGCAAAGAAAAGACACGGCAAGAGUUGGGGAUAGAAAUAGACUUUGCAUUUUGUAUCAAUUGAAAGAAGACAUAGUAGCGGAAGUAUAAUGAACAGUGAGGACAGGAGUAAGAGCAGAAUCAUUCAGCUUUCUUGACAAAUUUGGGUCCCAACUUUGGGCUAUUGAGAUCACAACGCUUUUUUGGAGGAAUGACAACAGGAGUCUGGUGGGCUGACUGGUCAGGUACAGUACAGCUUGUUGAGGCACGGUUUUGCUCUGUUGCUCAGGCUGGAGUGCACUGGUGCUGUAACAGCUCGCGGUAGCCUUAAACGCAAGGGCUCAUGCACCCAUCUCAGCCUCUCAAACAGGUGGAACUACAGAGAAUUAAUCAGAAUUUGCUGUUGGCAGUAGGGAGAACACAACAACAGAAAAUAUGUAUUCUUGAAAAAAUACUUAAAACCCUGGAUCCUGUGCCACCCUGGUCCAUGUGA